UACGUAGGUGGCAAGCGUUGUCCGGAAUUAUUGGGCGUAAAGCGCGCGCAGGCGGUCCUUUAAGUCUGAUGUGAAAGCCCACGGCUCAACCGUGGAGGGUCAUUGGAAACUGGGGGACUUGAGUGCAGGAGAGAAGAGUGGAAUUCCACGUGUAGCGGUGAAAUGCGUAGAUAUCGGGAGGAACGCCGGUGGCGAAAGCGACUGUCUGGGGUGCCUGUGACGCUGAGGCGCGAAAGCCAGGGGAUCAAACGGG
rnacentral:rRNA from 1 species